GAUGAAGAACGUAGCGAAAUGCGAUAAGUAAUGUGAAUUGCAGAAUUCAGUGAAUCAUCGAAUCUUUGAACGCACAUUGCGCCCGCCAGUAUUCUGGCGGGCAUGCCUGUUCGAGCGUCAUUUCAACCCUCAAGCCGCAGCGGCCUGGUGUUGGGGACCGGCGACCUCGCCCGAGCCCGCCCUCCGGGGCGCGUGCCCGGUGCGUCCGCCGCCCCCGAAAUGAAUUGGCGGCCUCGUCGCGGCCUCCUCUGCGUAGUAGCACAACCUCGCAGGCGGGAGCGCGACGCGGCCACUGCCGUAAAACGCCCAACUUUUUUAGAGUUGACCUCGGAUCAGGUAGGAAUACCCGCUGAACUUAAGCAUAUCAAUAAGCGGAGGA
rnacentral:misc_RNA from 1 species